GCCCGGCUAGCUCAGUCGGUAGAACACGAGACUCUUAAUUUUGGGGUCGUGGGUUCGAGCCCCAUGUUGGGCG
rnacentral:tRNA from 1 species